ACUGGCUUGUUGCAGCUAAUUGUUACUGCGACGUUGCUUUUGAUCCUUCGAUAUCGGCGCUUCCUAUCAUGCUGAAGUAGAAUUCAGUAAACGUGGCAUAGUUCACCUAGGACAAAGGAGGUUCAGACUUUGAAUC
rnacentral:ncRNA from 1 species